rnacentral:ncRNA from 1 species
UGCGCAGCGCGUGUUUCAGUACGAUGUUUCGAAAACUGACACCCUUCAGGCGGGCGGUGCGGAUAUACUGCGCGGUCAUCACCUCGGCCAUAGAAGCCCGUGUCAUGCGCGCGAUAUAGCCAACCCCGUAAAGCGCCAGUGCCAUCACUGGCAGGGUGAAAUUGGCGAAAGUAAUGUCA